GCCGCUGCGCUCCCCUCGCUCAGUCUGGCUGGCCCCAUGUUACUGAGCGGAGCUCCUCCGGCUGGCUCCCGCCCGGGGCCGCGAGCGCAGGGGAGCGCUGGGGGCGGCCCGGGGGGGUCCCGCCGGGGCGCCGGGGGUGCGGGAGCCGGCCCAGGAGGGGGCGGCAGCGGCGGAGUAGCCAAGUGGCUCCGGGAGCACCUGGGCUUCCGCGGGGGGGGCGGCGGCGGAGGGGGCAGCAAGCCGGCGCCCCCCGAGCCCGACUACCGCCCCCCUGCGCCCUCUCCGGCCGCGCCCCCCGCGCCGCCCCCGGACAUCCUGGCCGCCUACAGGCUGCAGCGGGAGCGCGACUUCGAAGACCCCUACUCCGGGGGGUCGUCCGGCUCCGCCGCCCUCGCCACCCCUGUCGCCCCCGGACCCACACCGCCCCCGCGCCACGGCUCUCCCCCACACCGCCUUAUUCGGGUCGAGACCCCGGGGCCCCCGGCGCCGCCUGCUGAUGAGCGGAUCUCCGGACCCCCUGCCAGCAGCGAUAGGCUAGCUAUCCUAGAAGACUAUGCGGACCCGUUUGAUGUUCAGGAGACUGGUGAAGGCUCAGCAGGAGCUUCAGGAGCCCCAGAGAAGGUCUCUGAAAAUGAUGGCUACAUGGAGCCCUAUGAGGCUCAAAAGAUGAUGGCCGAGAUCCGGGGCUCCAAGGAGACAGCAACUCAGCCCUUGCCUCUGUAUGACACACCCUAUGAGCCAGAGGAGGAUGGGGCCACCCCAGAAGGUGAGGGGGCCCCCUGGCCCCGGGAGUCCCGCCUGCCAGAGGAUGAUGAGAGGCCCCCCGAGGAGUAUGACCAGCCCUGGGAGUGGAAGAAGGAGCGGAUUUCCAAAGCCUUUGCAGUUGACAUUAAGGUCAUCAAAGACCUACCUUGGCCUCCACCUGUGGGACAGCUGGACAGCAGCCCCUCCCUGCCUGAUGGGGACAGGGACAUCUCCGGUCCAGCCUCACCCCUCCCUGAGCCCAGCCUGGAGGACAGCAGCGCCCAGUUUGAAGGACCGGAGAAGAGCUGCCUGUCACCUGGCCGGGAGGAGAAGGGGCGGCUACCUCCCCGACUCUCUGCAGGGAACCCCAAGUCAGCCAAGCCCCUAAGCAUGGAGCCCAGCAGCCCCCUGGGGGAGUGGACAGAUCCAGCACUGCCUCUGGAAAACCAGGUCUGGUAUCACGGGGCCAUCAGCCGAACCGACGCCGAGAACCUGCUCCGGCUGUGCAAAGAGGCCAGCUACCUGGUGCGCAACAGUGAGACCAGCAAGAAUGACUUCUCCCUCUCCCUCAAGAGCAGCCAGGGAUUCAUGCACAUGAAGCUGUCCCGAACCAAGGAACACAAAUAUGUGCUGGGCCAGAACAGCCCGCCCUUCAGCAGCGUCCCUGAAAUUGUGCACCACUAUGCCAGCCGCAAGCUACCCAUUAAGGGAGCCGAACACAUGUCCCUGCUCUACCCUGUGGCCAUCCGGACUCUUUAGAUGUGAAGCCAGGGCACUGUGAUAGACCUGUACCCAGCCCUGUGCCCAUCACCUGGCUGAGGGCUGUGGCUCUUGCCAGGGACGUGAUCUUUCAAACCUUUCUUCUCCUGGGAUCCAGUAGAAGCUGGAGAUUCCUUAAUUUAUUCUAAAGGGAAAGGGCUCCCGGGGCCUUGGAGUAAGGGGUUGUCUGGAGCUGGGGAAAGAGGAAUCCCUGGAGAGAAAGGAUAGCCCCUGGAGGAAGGGGGUUCCAGAGCUAUUGGGAGGGUAGGGAGUUUCAGAUUGGCAGCUCCGGCUCCUUUCCGACCUUAGGGCAGAGGUGGUGACCUCCACCACCACCACCCUCUCCCCACUGGGUCCGUGCGAGGUAGUGCAGAAUUCGGCCCCUUGGGGCGCCUUACCACCUCUCUGCCUCCGUCCCCGACUUCCACCCCAGACCGUCGGAGGGCUCCGCCCAGAGUCUGAUGGAUUCUCACUCUGUUACCCAGGCUGGAGGGCAGUGGUGCGAUCUCGGCUCACUGCAACCUCUGCCUCCCAGGUUCAAGCAAUUCUCCUGCCUCAGCCUCCUGAGUAGCUGGGAUUACCGGCAUGUGCCACCACACCCAGCUGAUUUUUGUAUUUUUGGUAGAGACGGGGUUUCACCAUGUUGGCCAGGCUGGUCUCGAACUCCUGAGCUCAAGUGAUCCGCCCACCUCAGCUUCCCAAAGUGCUGGGAUUAGGGGCAUAAGCCGCCGCGCCGGCCUGGACUUCUGACCUCUAAACAAUCACCUGGCCCUACCCAACACCCCACAGACACACCAUCCAUGUGCGCAACCAUGUGAGUCUGAAAUUACAGCAUUAGAAGUUCACUCCUUUGCUUUCUCUCAGAGUCAUGCUUUAAAACAUAAAAAUUGGGAGAAUUGACACAUUAUGCACACUCAUUCUGGGGUGUUAGAAACUUGUCAGCUGAGGCUGGUGAGGCGCCCUGGAAAGUGUGGGAAGAGGCACUUGGCAGUGACCAGCGACAGGCUCCCGGGCUUACUUCACACCCUGGCCCAGGCCAACUCCAUCCUGAUGGAGAAGGACAUUAAAGGUAAGUGCCAGCAGACAGGGGGGCUCUCAUAGGAGGGGAAGUCAGCGGGGGCGGGAGGCCCUGGAGAGCCUCCCAGGGACACCCAGGCCCUGCCUGUGAGGACGAUGGCGGUGGAGGCAAUGAGGCGAUGGAAGUCCACGGCGGCGUCGAAGGGCACGUAGCGGUUGAGGAAGGUUUCUCGCAGGAAGGUGAUGAGGUUGCGGCACAUGGUGAGCAAGAUAUAGGAGAACAUGAAAGAGAUGCUGGCUGCUGUGCCCCGCGACAGGAUGAUUCCCACGCGGGUGGUGUCCGUGAUGCCCGUGUGGUGUGCGGCAAAGGCGUAGUCUGUGGAGGGGGCCCAGGCAGGCAAGCGAGGGUCAGUGCAGAGGAGAGAGAGCUGGUUAGGGGCGGUAGGCCCUGGCCGGCUGCCACUCACAACAGGCCUCCCCCGCACAGUCUUCACUCAGACAGGCUCCACUUACCCUACCCAGGGCUGGCACUUAUCGCAGGCCCCACCCCAGGGCUGUCCGUCACUCACAGUAGGCUCCACCCCCAGGGCGAUCACUCAUUGCAAGCCUAGGGACAGGGCUCGUGGUAAGUAAAGUCACUCACAGUAGGCCCUCUCCAGGAAAAGCCCCCCAGCGAUGGCGUAGAACACGGCCACGCAGCCGAUGUGGCGCCGGUAGUUCUCAAUGAAGCGCUUGAACUGUUGCACCGUCUGGUGGAGACGGCUGCGUUGGAACUUCUCUCGGUGCGCCUCAGUGAACAGCAAGGGCUGGAAUGACGUUACCCUGGGAGACAGGAAGCCUUAGCCUUUGGCACCCACCAUCGGACCCAACGCUAGUGGGGCCCCACUUCACGGAGGUGAGCCGCCCAGAAGUGAGGGAAGCCCACUGCUUCCGAGAAAGAAACCUAGUUACCCUUGUGGAAGAAGGGUUCAGACCUCACCGCAUCAGGCUAUAUUGCAUUGCAUAAGCAAGCUGGCAGUGGAGGGAUGGCUUGGAGUGGUCAUUUCUUCCCAGGGGAUGCACUCCAUCUACCUGUGUUCAUUCACACUCAGUCCCUCUCCUUCCAGUCUGUAGCUCCCAACUCCCACCCGGCACCCAUAUUCAGCCUUUACUAGAGACUCAAAGGACACCUCUUCCAUGAAGGCAUCUCUGACCUCCCUGGCAGAGGUGAGUGUUUCCUUGAGUUCCAAAGCCCUUCGCUCUUACCACUAUUAGAACAGUCAUCAGUGGGAUAUUGAAAUUAUCAGUGUACCAGAUUCUCUUCUUAGAUUGUGAUGUUCUUGGGCAAGGACUAUUCACCCUGCCUAUACCCACAAUGUUUAGCACAGUGCCUGGCAGCAAGGAAAGGAUGUUUAUAAGCUGAAGGAAUGGAUGAACUGCCUGGGCUUAAGGGGAAGAGCAGACAUACUUCUUGCCAAACCUCCGCCGAAUCUCCUGGGGAGGGUCUGUGUCCAUGGGGCACUGCAGUCUCUGAGGUGUCAACUCAGUCUCAAUGUCGCUGCGGGAACAGCGGGCACUCACUCUGGGAGAGGGACUAAGACAAGAAUGGUAAGAGAUAGGAUGCUGGCCAUCUCAACCACUCGUUCCUCUGCUAUCCUGGUCUGCCUCCAAAUCCAUUCUGCUGAGGAAGGAUCAGAGCUGUCAGCAAGGGGACAGCAGGAUUCCCACAGUCACCUAUAGACAGAGUCUGAUCUUGGGGGUCCUCGCUAAGGCUGCUGCAUAUGCCUUUACCCUUCACAAGGGCAUCUGGGCCAGGCCGUAAGUGAGAGCGGAAAUCCAGCAGGCUUUCUGCUUGCCCUGGCACAGGGCUGUGUCUGCCUAGAGAAAGGGGUGUCCUUUUCUAAUUUGUUUGAAGGUGCUGCAUGGGCUAGCGGUGGCCCUGAUCCCAGCCAUUCAGGGGAGAGAAAUGGCAACUCCCCAACUCCUCCCCCCGACAUUCCCAGAUGGGGGCUCACCAGAUCAUAUCCUGGCUGAUGUAGGAGGCUCGCCGGCAGAGGUCCUUGAUGACUUCAGGCACCUCCACCCCUGCAAAGCAGAGCCAGGCUAGGGAGCAGCUCAGGGUCCAGAGCCCAGGAAGACCUGGCUCAAACGCACAGCACUCCUACCAUCCCAUGCUCAGACACAGUAGACAGUCCCAGACCAAUGGAGGCCCUGCUUUCGGGUGCUCCAACCUCAGCCCUUGUCCCCAAUGGGAGCUGGACCCAGCCAUAGGUGGGCAGGGAAAAGGCCUGAAAGAAAGUUGGCCAGGCAGGCUUCCCUAAAGUGUGUCCAUCAUCAGUCCCACUUCUGGGACUAUGGGGUAGAUUUCGGGAACUGUAUAUAACCUGCCUUCUGAGCCUGCUCUGCCAUAAAAAUUUGGCUUAAGAUCCUCUAGCUUAAAACCUCCAAGAGCUAAAUGUAGAAUCUAGGUGGUAGGUAUAUGGGAGAUCACACUACAGUUCUUUUUACUUUUCUGUGUUUGAAAAUGUUCAUAAUAAAAUAUGCAGGAGAAAAGCUCUCCCAGGAGCCACCCCAUUGUUCCUGUCUAGGCUGAGCACUGAAGGCAGGGCAGGACUAAGCUGCAAAGCCAAGUUCUUACAGGAGUCCUGGGAAUCUCUGGGUUUCUUCCAAGUGCUGAACCAAGCCUGAAGAUGACCCUGGUCUAUAGUUGAGGUCAAAAGAAGAUAAGCUGAACUAUAUUAAAAUUAAAUCAGAAUGUUUAAAACAAAGUAUUAGUGCCUGUACUCUCAAAUGUUCCACAAACAGCAAAUGUGGUAAAAUGGUAACAAAUAGCAUAUCUAGGUGAAAAGUGAAGGAACAUCUCUUUUUUUGAGACAGAGUCUCUGUCGCCCAGGUUGGAGUGCAGUGGCACAAUCUUGGCUCACUACAGCCUCUGCCUCCUGGUUCAAGCGAUUCUUGUGCCUCAGCCUCUGGAGUACUUGGGACUACAGCCAUGUGCCACCACACCUGGGUAAUUUUUGUACUUUUUUAAAUAGAGAUGGGGUUUCUCUAUGUUGGCCAGGCUGGUCUCAAACUCCUGACCUCAAGUGAUCCUCCCACUUUGGCCUCCCAAAGUGCUGGGAUUACAGGCAUGAGCUAUUGCACCUGGCCCUUUGUUCCUUUUCUUUAGUUUUAAAAUCUUUAAAAAAAAAAAAAUCUGGAGUCAACAACAAUUAAAAGAAAACAAUACUCAGUGCUAAUCUUCCUCAAUCCCCAAGCCUGGUUUUACCCUCCACCCCAGGUGUUGGAUGUCCCUGGGACUCUGUGGUGUGGGCUCCCUUCCAUGCACCUUCUUUGCCCCUGCCCUUAGGCUCAGGUGCCUGCUGCCCUGGUUGCCUGGGAAAGGUAAAAAGCUGCAGAAUCAGGAGUGCUGGGUUCCUUCUCUUCCAGCUCUCCUUACCCCCAGGGGGAAGCCCUGACCAGAGGCUCAUCUGUGUCUUAUCUAACUUGCCCCUCUUCCCUGUGGAGGCUGCUCAGCCUACCCCUUCUCAUAGUUCUGGGAGGGGCUGGGUUUGGUCUCAACAUGCCCCAGUGAGAGUCCUAAGAUGCAAAGAUACCAUAACAGCUCAGAGCAGGCCACAGACAGACCCUCCUGCCUGCUGCUUGCCCAUUCCUCACUCUAACUCUAGCCCCCACCCACUUGAAUCAGACACUGGUGGGGCAGGAAGUAGGGGGAAGGACAACAGAACUGGGUCUUCAUGUAUUCAGCAAACAUUUACUGAGCACUCAGCCAGGAGAUAUAGUGGCAAAAAAACCCCCAAGAGAUACCACCCCACCCCCACAAACAGACAUCCCAGCUGAAGGAAGUAUGGCCUGGGUAGGGCUGUAACAGGGAGACAGUCUCCCCCUGCCCUGGGCACCAUGCACAGGGGGCUUUGGCAGGGAGCCAGGGGAAGCAGAGUUCCAAUCACCAUUUCCUACCCUAUCCUGACCCUACCCACCCCACCAGCAGAGCUGCAUUAUGACUUUCCUGGGCCCUAGGCACUUUCACCUUUUUGGGUCCUUUCCUCCAUAAAAAUAAAAAAUAAUAUUUUAAAAUUAUAUUGUAUAAUUAUGUUGAUAUAAAGAAAACUACAAUCCAGAUUGGAUACAUUAUUACAUAUUACUACAUUCAUUUUUUUCUUCUGAUUUUAACGGAAAUUAAAACAUUUCUGUGGACUCUUAAAAGUAUGUGGGCAUUGUGCCUACUAUGCCUAACCAAUGAGUCAGUGCUGCCUACCAGGCUGCCCCACCUUUGACACAGAGCUGCGUGAAGCGGAGCUCGCUAUUGUGGUCCCGCAGCAUGAAGUGAAAAUCCUCCCAUGUCAGCUCCUCCUUGUCCUGGAAUCCCGACUCCCGGAACAUGGACUCCACCACCUCAGCCAGCUGGGCCUUGGACAGGCAGUUGUUGGAGAUCUCGAUGAAGGAUCUGGGGUUGGGGGAGAGGAACCAUCCGGCCCUGACUGGGGCCUGCGACCCAGACACAGGACACACUGACUCCAUCGCACCAAGUUCUCUGUGCCCAUGUGGAGGGGCCCCGACUGGCCACAUCCCAAGCCCCCUGCUAGUUGGAACAGCCUCUGGUUACAUGGGUAAGGAGGAGGCCUCCUUCCUUGGCCCUUCUGCUCUCUCCUUCAGGUCCCAUCUAUUUGCCCUGGCAUCCCUGCCCUGGCCCAUUCUCCUGGCUGUCCCAGAGAACCAACCUCAGCAUCCUGAUGAACUCAUCCUUGGAAAUGAGGCCAUUCCCAUCAAAGUCGUACAUGCGGAACAUAAGGCGAGACUUUUCCUCAGGAGAGCCUGGGAGAGGGAGGACUCCAUAAGGACAGCCCCCGCCUGCCUGCCUGAACCCCCAGGCUGGCCAAAAGGGGCCUCACACCAGUGUGAUGACCCACUUCUGGACACAGCAAGGGUCGCUCUGCUUCCUGACCUCGGCCUGGGCACUUCUGGGCAUCUGCCAUGGCUGGAGACCUGGUCCCAGGGCUUCCCCACCUCCAACAGAUCAGCCCCUGUCCAGCCUCUCCUAUCAUUCCCUCCUCCCUCACCUUUCAUGAAGACCACCAGGAUGUCCAGGAACUCUCGGAAGGACAGGUAGCCAUUGCCAUCCUUGUCAGCCAGAGAGAACAUUGACUCCACAAACAUGUCCUGGGGCUUGAGGCCCAGGGACUCGGCAAACUCGGCCCUGCUCAGCUCACAGGUCAGGGCCUCCUGCACCUUCUGGGAGGAGUCCAGGGGCAGGGUCCCUGCGUCAGCCUGGUUGAUGUCCAGCACCUGCACUUGGGCAGAAGUAGAGGGAGGGAGAAGAGACAAGGCUUCCUUGACUUGAAGUUCAGCUGAGCCCUGUAGGAGCCACCUUUUGAGGUGUCUGCCCAGGACCCCCUCUGCUAGGAGGCCUUAUGGUGGUGCCUGAGGCCAUGUUUGUUCUACAGAACCCUGACCCUCUGCCUUAGCUGACUGGACAGGGAACUCACUUGGAAUUAAGAAGUGUGAGGUCUGUCUUGACUUGAGCACAAGAAAGCUCAGAAAGUGUGGACCACUCUCUUCCUCCAAGUGCUCAGCCACUUAGAGAUCAAGUAAGGCAAAGGCAGCCUAGGGGAGGAGUGGCCUCAUUGGCUGACAGCUUUCCUUUUCUAGGUCCUUUCAGGCCAGGUUGAUGUCCUCCCUUUGGAAUUCCUGAGACAUCUCUGUAUUCUCAGAGUCAAGUGACGCUUUGUCAAUGCUAGCUUAUUGGGGUUUCUCUUAUUUAUGUGUAAAAAAAGUUUUAACUAAGACAAGGCUUCAGCUGGAUUGAGGAAAAGCUGGGCUUGAGAAAGGGGAAUUCUCAUUAUGGCCAUCCCCAGCCCACCCAGAGGCUUCCCCAGUAUGAGAGAACAGACAGUGAGGAAGCAGGCAGGCCACAGGCCACAGUACCUGUCUUUCCUGCCUGUCAAGUGAGGUGCCUACUCCAAGUCUGGUGAUGGUUUCAUGAGGUAAACCUUACAGCUUCAAACAAGGUGCUGUAGUGGGAAGAGCCUAGGGCUGGAGGCAAGAGACCUGGGUUCAUGUCCCAACUCUGUCACCUGCUUGCUGAAUGACCUCAGGCAAGUCUCUUCGGUUGCCUGGAAUUCAUUUCCUCAUCUGCCCUACUUAUCUCACAGGUUUAUUGCGAGAUCAACAAAAGUGGUUGUGUUGAAAAUGUUCUGAAAGCUGAAAUCACCGUGCAGAUAUGAGACACUGACAGCCACCCCCAGGAUAUAUCAGCACCCUUCGUGUCUCAGCACAGGGAGUUCCCAUAGCCCCGAAGGAUCCUGAAUGAGUGGAGAUGCCCAGUCCUGCCUGGACUCUGGGAAGGAGUCACCCAGCUGAGGGUCCCUCUGUUCUUGUACAUAUUCAAAUUCAACUUGUUUGUCCUCAAAUGACUUUAAAUCAUGUUCCUGGCACAGAGUAAAUGUCUGUUCAAUG